rnacentral:rRNA from 1 species
UACAGAGGGUGCAAGCGUUGUCCGGAUUUAUUGGGCGUAAAGAGCGUGUAGGCGGCCAAGCAGGUCCGCUGUGAAAACUCGAGGCUCAACCUCGAGACGUCGGUGGAAACCGUUUGGCUAGAGUCCGGAAGAGGAGAGUGGAAUUCCCGGUGUAGCGGUGAAAUGCGCAGAUAUCGGGAAGAACACCCGUGGCGAAAGCGGCUCACUGGACCACAACUGACGCUGAGGCGCGAAAGCUAGGGGAGCAAACAGG